UGUGCUGCCAGCUCAGCUCCUCAUCAUUUGCAAUUCCUUCUUCAAGCAUAAUCUCUGAGGUAUGCGGGCCUGGUAAUCUUCCUUUUCGGUUUUGCUGUUGGUACCCCUGUGUUUAUGUCUGUUGCUUCCUCUGUGUCUUCUUCUGGUGUUGCUCUGUUGCUAUCAUCUUCCCGUGGCCCUUGGAGAAUCACCUUGUCCUCAAGGUGAUAGGUCCGCUUCAGUUGAUCCCAAUCUUCCCAAGAGGUGUCAUCAGGAAGUAACCCCUUCCAUUGAACUAAAACCUCCCAUGGUCCCUCAGUGGUUGCAGCACGACGAGUAUCCAAAAUUGCCAAGGGAGAAAUAAUUGGCUGAUUAUUGAAGAAUUGGUCUGGAAGUGAGGGGGUCUGACUGAUGGCGGGAUCCCCAUGGAAAGGUUUUAAAAGUGAACAGUGGAAUAUGGGAUGAAUUCGCGUGCCCUCUGGUAAUUCCAAACAAUAAGCAACCUUACCAAUUCUCUCGAGAAUCUUGAAGGGACCGUAGAAGCGCUUAGCUAACUUGCCGGAGCUGUGCUGAGCAUCCUUGGCCGAACGCUGUCGGUAGGGCCGAAGCUUUAAAAGUACCCAAUUACCAACCUCAUAGUCAACUUCACGCCGUUUAGUAUCAGCAGUGCGUUUCAUCGUAGCUUGGGCUUUUAAUAGCUUCUGACGAAUGCAAAGAAAAACUUCCUCACGGUGCUUCAGAGUAUCAUCCACCGCAUCUAGUUUGGAGGAGCCAGUGAUAUAGUCUGGAAAAGAGAAAGGUUUCCGCCCAAACGUUAUCUCAUACGGCGUAGAGCCCGUGCCUGCAUUUCAGGAAGUGUUAUGCGAUAAUUCAACCCAGGGAAGGAAUCUGCCCCAAGUCCCCGGCCGGCGGUGCACGAAAGCCCGCAAAUAUUGCUCUAUUACUCUGUUCAUGACUUCAGUCUGACCAUCACUCUGUGGAUGGUAGGCUGAACUCAUUCGAAGCCUUGUACCACUCAAUUUAAAAAGCUCCUGCCAAAAGGUACUCAGGAAAAGUGGAUCGCGAUCUGAAACUAAACUCCGAGGUUGACCAUGGAGUUUGACCACGAUGUCAAUGAACAAAGAGGCGACCAUGUGUGCCGUAUGCGCGGUGGGUAAGGUGCCCAAGUGAAUACCCUUAGAAAAUCGGUCCACAACAACAAGUAACACCGUUUUGCCCUGAUAUGAAGGGAGCCCAGUGAUGAAAUCAAGGGAGAGGUCCUCCCAUGGCCGAAAGGGAACAGGUAAGGGACAAAGCAACCCGGCUGUGCGUUUCGUCUCAUAUUUGGUGAAUUGGCAGUCAGAGCAAUUGGCCACGAAGGUCGCAACAUCAGAACGGAGUCCCGGCCAUGUGAAAUUUUCCGAUAGCCUAGCUAUCGUCUUUGCGACGCCCAUAUGGCCCCCCAUCGGCGUCGCGUGGUACUCUAGCAUGAGUGUCUGAAUGAGAGGAAGCUCGCGGGGUAACCAAAUUUUGCCCUUGUAAAGGAUGAAAUUCUGACUAAGAGUGUAAUCGGGGUAGGUGGUGGGAGAAUUGAUGAUGUCCUGUCGGUGCUGACAAUACUGAGAAUUAUUGGUGAGCUGCUGACGUAAUUCAUCAAGAAAGCUCAAACAAGGAAUAGAUAAGAGCAACGAAAGUGAAGGAGUGAAUUCCGGUGACCGUGAGAGGGCAUCAGCUGCUUGGUUGUGCUUCCCGGAGCGGUACUGGAUUUGAUAAUCAAAUCCCAUUAAUCGGGCCAGGUACAUAUGUUGUUCGGGUGUUUGAAUAACUUGGGUGAGCAACUCUUUCAAGCUCCUAUGAUCGGUGACAAUGGUGAAUGAGUGGCCCAAGAGAUAUUGGCGCCACUUUUUCACUGCAGAGGUAAUAGCAAAUAAUUCACGAACAUAGGUGGAGGCCCUGAGGAGCUUCUUAGGGAAUGGCUUGCUGAAAUAAGCAAUGGGGUGUCCUCUCUGAGAUAGGACAGCGCCCAUGCCAUUGCCGGAAGCGUCAGUCUCCACUGUGAAAGGCUCCUGAAAGUCUGGAAGUGCAAGAACAGGAGUAGUUGACAAAGCCGAUUUGAGGUCUUCAAAGGCCUGUUGAGCUUGUGGGGUCCAACGAAAGGGGUCCGAGGUGGCCUUAACCAAAGGGUCAGCAAUCAUGGCAUAUCCCCGAAUAAAUCUACGAUAAAACCCGGCGAGCCCCAAAAAACUUCGAACAGCUCUGGUGGAGUGAGGUUGAGGCCAAUUAACAAUGGCAACAAUCUUAUCAGGCAUGGGCUCAACUCCGCGUUGGGAAACUAAAUGUCCCAAAUAUUCAACCUGUGAUUAACCAAAGGAACAUUUAGAUUUCUUAAGAACGAAGUGGUUGUCAAGCAGAACCUGGAAAGUUAAGUCCAGAUGGUGCAAGUGAUCAUCAAAAGAGCUGCUGUAGAUAAGUAUGUCAUCGAAGAAGACGAUGACGAAGCGACGAAGGAAGGGCCUGAAAAUGAGGUUCAUUGUAGCUUGAAAGGAAGAUGGAGCAUUACAGAGGCCAAAGGGCAUCACUCUGAACUCAUAAUGUCCAUGAUGAGUUCGAAAUGCAGUUUUAGGGAUAUCCUCUGAAUGCAUGCGUAUUUGAUGAUAACCUUGGAGAAGAUCGAGCUUGGAGAAGCAUUGAGCGCCCCCCAAUUCAUCAAGUAAUUCGUCUAUGGUGGGUAUCGGAAAUCUGUCCUUGACGGUGAGGGAAUUCAGUGCCCGGUAGUCGACACAAAAUCUCCAUGAUCCAUCAUGCUUCUUCACCAAUAAGACUGGGGAGGAAAAAGGGCUUGUACUGGGUUGGAUCAAACCCUUCUGAAGCAUUGAGUCGACUUGCAAUUCGAUUUCCUGUUUUUGGAAAUGGGGGUAACGAUAAGGUCUAACGUUGACCGGCGUUGAUAGGGGUAGUAAAUGAAUGUGGUGGUCAGUGGGACGUGGUGGUGGAAGUGUCGGAGAUGGUUGAAAGAGGACAUCGUACUUGGUGAGCAGAGCUUGAAGGGAAGGGGGUAAGGUGUCUGGGGAAGAAGGUGGGGUGUCAUCAGAAAGGACCGUGAUCUGAAAAUAAAGGCCCUGGGGCUGUGUCCGACAAAGACGGCAAAACUGGGAUGAAGUCAUGGAGCUCAGGCUAGCUUCGGGGUCUCCCUGUAAAGUAAUCAAUUGAUCAUUGUGAAUGAAUUGCAUGCUUAAGGUUGAGUAAUCAGUCAACACAGGGCCGAGGGAUUUGAGCCACUAGACCCCGAGGACCACGUUGGCACCCGAGAUUGGGAGGACAUGGAGGUCGACCGUGAAGCUGUGAUUCUGAAUCUGAACGGAAAUGGCGUCACAUAUGGAAUGACACUCCAAAUAUUGGCCAUUACCCACCAUUACACGCAAAGGAGAAGUGGUCCGGCAAGAGAGGCCCAAUUGGGUCACCAAUUGUUGCUGAACAAAGUUGUGGGUACUGCCCCCAUCAACCAGUAGCAACAAAGGGUGGCCGGAGAUGGCACCGAUGAAGCGUAUUGUCUCCGGAGCGACAUGGCCAGCAAGGGAAUUAAGUGAAAUUUGGGCUGAGUAUGAAAGUGGGCUUUCGGGUGGGUCUGUGGGUUGGAUAGGUACCGGGUCAUGAGUUAAAGUAAUGGGCGGGUCAAAAUUGGGUAUAUGAGAAAGGGGCGGGUCUUCCUCAUCAGUUAUGAGGAGAAAAAACCUAGAGGAGCAGCGGUGCCCUCGAUGGAAUUUCUCCUCACAAUUGAAACAGAGGCCACGUUCCCUUCGAGAGGCAAUUUCCUCUGGGGACAACCGUUUCCAGGUUUGGGGCGGUGGUCGCGGGGGCGGGGGUGGUAAGAGAGGUGGUAAGGUCGAAGAAAGUGGCGGUGAGGGUGUCUUGAGGAUAGGGGAAAGGGGUGGAGAGGAUACGGGGGCAGUAGGGUUGACUUGGGGAAAGGAGGGAAACACUGAGGGUGAUCUCUGGAAUUGGGGCAAAGGGGAAGGACGAGGACGAGGGUGUUGACGCAUCUCGGAGAACUUCUCCUCCUGCAAGCGCGCGAGACCCGCGGCUUGAACCAGGGUGGCCGGCUGGUGGGCUUGAACUUCUCUCCGUAUCUCCGGGAUGAGGCCGGAGAUAAAGCAACUAAGAAGGAAGGUGGAGGGCAACCCCGUCGUGCGAUUAGCAAGGUCCUCAAAGUCAGAGAGGUACUGGGUUACCGUCCCGGUCUGGGUAAGCUUGCUCAAAGCUCCGGAAGGGUCCUCGAAUUGUGAAGGGGCAAAGCGAGUGCGCAGUGCAUGCAAGAAGGCAGGCCAUGACGGAAAUUGCUCAGAGGUGUUCAUCCAUUGAAACCAGGCAAGCGCGCGACCUUCCAUAUAAAAGGAAGCAAUGGUGAGUUUGUCUGAGUCUGGGGUACCAUGGUACUCAAAGAAUUGAGUUAUUUUGUAAAUCCAGCCAAGUGGGUCUGACCCAUCAAAUCUUGGCACAUCUAAUUUCAAUCUGUGUAUGGGUGUAGGUGCCGGCGGUGGUAACGGCGGUGGAGUGGGUGGCGUGGUGGAGAACACUGGAGAAACUCGUUGAAUGAGUUCGUCAAUCUUGAGAGUCAUGGCAUUGACAGACUCUCCAAGAUAUAGCUGCUGUUUAGUGAGUCGGCUGAGGACAUCCUCCAGCUUGUCCGACGAAAAUGAGGCGGGUUCAGGGUCUACCAUGGUGAAGAGCAACGAGAGCACCAAAUUGGUACGGUACUCGUGCUCGGGUUGCUGGCUUCGAGGGCCAGGGGCCUCCUAAGAAGAAGAAAAGGGAUAAAGGGAGUCACGAAGGUAAUGAAGAAGGAGCGUAAUUGUUCUUAUUCAUUUGCUAGUUAUUUACAUAUAUUUAUAAUGCCCAACUGCUACAUGUAAUUAUCCAUAUUUGCAGGAAUAUCUGCAUAACAGAAUUUGAUUCUCGAUGCUUCCUAGCAAGAGACAUUUUGAUCUAGCAAAUCCUGUGCUGCCAGCUCAGCUCCUCAUCAUUUGCAAUUCCUUCUUCAAGCAUAAUCUCUGAGGUAUGCGGGCCUGGUAAUCUUCCUUUUCGGUUUUGCUGUUGGUACCCCUGUGUUUAUGUCUGUUGCUUCCUCUGUGUCUUCUUCUGGUGUUGCUCUGUUGCUAUCA
rnacentral:lncRNA from 1 species